AUGUAUCCUCCAAAGAUCUUGAUCCUCCUUUUUGUUCUCCUUUCGACUUUUUCUUCUUCCAGACUUGCGAUGAACAAAUCCUUUGCUUUGGGUAUUGAGAUUGGCACCAUAUGGCGAAAUAAUCCCUCCCUUCUACACAACGAUUAUCCAGAAGACGAAUUCUCCCUGCGCAUCAUCCUCCCUAAGGAUGCCACGUUUUUUACUACAAACUCGAGCUCAGAUCUUGACAGCCUUUCAUUUGCCUGCGGAUUCUUCUGUGCAGGGCCUGUAGCUACCUGUGAUGACUACAUCUUUUCCAUCUUUGUUGUCAAUACCUACAGCUCCAGUGAUGCUGUGUCCUUUAACGCGCCCAAGGUGGUCUGGUCUGCCAACCGUGACCGCCCAGUCAAAGAGAAUGCUAAUGUUCAACUUACUGAACUUGGGGACUUGGUGCUCUAUGAUUCUGAUGGAGCACAUGUUUGGUCUACCAAUACUGAAGACAUGUCAGUUGCUGGCAUGAAUCUUACGAGUGCAGGCAAUCUGGUGCUGUUAAAUCAGUCAAAUAUGCAACUCUGGAGGUCCUUCGAUCACCCAACUGAUACACUUGUCACCGGGCAGAUUCUACCAGAAGGGCAGAAGCUCAUUGCAAUGACCUCAGUGGCAAACUGGUCAAGUGGAAAUUUUGAUCUCACCGUCCUCCCUGAUGGUAUGUAUGCAUUUGCAGGAACUGAUACUCGUCUAGCCUACUAUCGGAGCCCCACCGGUGGAACUGUGACGACAAACAGGUCAGCAUACGUUGCACUCAAGAAUGGCAGUCUGGAGGUGUUCACUAAUUUUCGGGAUACAGAGGCACCAGAUUACCAGAUCCAGCUGCCCAGGGAUAACUAUGGGCUGGGCUUUGUGAGGCUAGAUUUUGAUGGGCACCUUAGGCUAUAUCUUUGGACAAACAAUAGCUGGGUGAGUUCAGAUGUUUUUGACAUAGCUGAUCCUUGUGCUUAUCCUCUAGCUUGUGGCGAAUAUGGUAUUUGUUCGGAUGGACAGUGCAGUUGUCCCGAUGCUGCCAUUGGGCAAUCAGGAUUGUUUGAUGUAAUUGAUCCAAGGGAGGUUAAUCAUGGCUGCUUGCCAAUAGGUUCACUAUCCUGUGAUUCGGCACGGAAGCCUACACUUCUUUCCCUUCCCAACAUCACGCGCUUCAACGGUGUCUACAAUUGGACAACAAGUGAAGAGCGAUGCAAAUUAUCAUGCUUGAAUGAUUGUUCGUGUAAGGCUUCAUUCUUCCAGCAGUAUGACACCUCCACUGGUUUCUGUUUUCUUGCAUCUGACAUAUUCUCCAUGAUAAGUGUAAAUUCCCCAAGUUACUCAAGCAAUUUUAGUUCUCUGGCAUUUGUUAAAGUUAACGGAGCUACCCGGAACUUUGUGCUAUCUCAAGGAAAAUUAACCGUUGCAUUGGCCGUUGGUUCUUCAACUUUUAUUGCUUUAGUUGUUGUUGCAGUGCUUGUAGUUUUACGAAGAAAUAGGGCAGAACCAUUAGAAGAUGAUGACAUUAUCGAUCAGUUACCAGGGCUACCUGCAAGAUUUUCUUUUAUGGAGUUGAAGUCAGCAACUGAAGAUUUCUCAAAAGUGAUUGGGAAAGGAGGAUCUGGUUCUGUUUUUGAAGGACAGAUUUGUGAUAAGCAGGUUGCUGUGAAAAGAUUGGAUGGCAUUAAUCAAGGAAAAAGGGAAUUUUUAGCAGAGGUUCAGACUAUUGGAAGCAUCAACCACAUAUAUUUGGUGAGGCUAAUUGGAUUUUGUGCUGAAAAGUCGCAUAGGCUUCUUGUCUAUGAAUACAUGCCAAAUGGAUCUUUGGAUAGGUGGAUUUUCCAAAGGCACCAAGAAGCACCACUUGAUUGGAAAACCAGAUUGAGGAUCAUCACUGAUGUAGCAAGGGGACUGGCUUAUCUUCACAGUGACUGUCGGGAAACAAUCGUUCAUCUAGACAUCAAGCCACAAAAUAUCCUUUUGGAUGAGCAAUUCACUGCCAAGGUAUCUGACUUCGGGCUUGCCAAGCUAAUUGAUCGUGAACAGGGAAGUGUCAUGACUAGAUUGAGAGGCACACCAGGUUACCUGGCUCCUGAGUGGUUGACAUCUGUGAUCAACGAGAAGGUUGAUGUGUAUAGCUUUGGCAUUGUUAUCAUGGAAAUUAUUUGCGGUAGAAGUAAUUUGGAUUACUCACAGCCUGAAGAAAGCCGUCAUCUCAUCAGCAUGCUGCAGGACAAGGCCAAAACUGACCAGCUGUUGGACCUUAUCGAUCCACGCUCCACUGAUAUGCAAUGUCAUUUGGAUGAAGUGUCGCGCAUGAUGAAUCUGGCAAUGUGGUGCCUGCAGGUUGAUAGCCGUCGACGGCCUUCCAUGACCGAAGUUGUGAAAAUCCUGGAUGGUGCAAUGGAUGUUGAAACCGAACUUGAUUUGGACCUGGUAAAUCUGGAACUAAUGGUGGCAAAUAGAGCGGUUCGUGGGAACAUUGCCGCAACUCUGCAGAUAGACUCCGUCCUUUCAGGGCCACGGUAA
rnacentral:rRNA from 1 species